UGUCGUCAGCUCGUGUUGUGAAAUGUUGGGUUAAGUCCCGCAACUAGCGCAACCCUUAUCCUUUGUUGCCAGCGGUUCGGCCGGGAACUCAAAGGAGACUGCCAGUGAUAAACUGGAGGAAGGUGGGGAUGACGUCAAGUCAUCAUGGCCCUUACGACCAGGGCUACACACGUGCUACAAUGGCAUAUACAAAGAGAAGCGACCUCGCGAGAGCAAGCGGACCUCAUAAAGUAUGUCGUAGUCCGGAUUGGAGUCUGCAACUCGACUCCAUGAAGUCGGAAUCGCUAGUAAUCGUAGAUCAGAAUGCUACGGUGAAUACGUUACCGGGCCUUGUACACACCGCCCGUCACACCAUGGGAGUGGGUUGCAAAAGAAGUAGGUAGCUUAACCUUCGGGAGGGCGCUUACCACUUUGUGAUUCAUGACUGGGGUGAAGUCGUAACAAGGUAACCGUAGGGGAACCUGCGGUUGGAUCACCUCCUUA
rnacentral:rRNA from 1 species